GCUAGCGGCAGGCCUAACACAUGCAAGUCGAGGGGUAACAGGGAGCUUGCUCCGCUGACGACCGGCGCACGGGUGCGCACCGCGUAUGGAACCUACCUUGUACAGGGGAAUAGCCCAGGGAAACUUGGAUUAAUGCCCCGUGGUACCACGACCCGGCAUCGGGAUGUGGUUAAAGCCUUCGGGCGGUAUAAGAUGGCCAUGCGUCCCAUUAGCUUGUUGGUAAGGUAACGGCUUACCAAGGCUACGAUGGGUAGGGGCCCUGAGAGGGGGAUCCCCCACACUGGUACUGAGACACGGACCAGACUCCUACGGGAGGCAGCAGUGAGGAAUAUUGGACAAUGGAGGAGACUCUGAUCCAGCCAUGCCGCGUGCAGGAAGAAUGCCCUAUGGGUAGUAAACUGCUUUUAUACGGGAAGAAAAAGGGGCACGUGUGCCCUACUGACGGUACCGUAAGAAUAAGGACCGGCUAACUCCGUGCCAGCAGCCGCGGUAAU
rnacentral:rRNA from 1 species